rnacentral:rRNA from 1 species
UACGUAGGGGGCAAGCGUUGUCCGGAUUCAUUGGGCGUAAAGAGCGUGUAGGCGGCUAGGUAGGUCCGUUGUGAAAACUCGAGGCUCAACCUCGAGACGCCGGUGGAAACCAUCUAGCUAGAGUCCGGAAGAGGAGAGUGGAAUUCCUGGUGUAGCGGUGAAAUGCGCAGAUAUCAGGAAGAACACCCGUGGCGAAGGCGGCUCUCUGGGACGUGACUGACGCUGAGACGCGAAAGCGUGGGGAGCGAACAGG